rnacentral:snRNA from 1 species
GUGCUUGCUUCAGUAGCACAUAUACUUAAAAAUGAAACAAUACAGAGAAGAUCACCCUGUGCAAGUGUGGCACACAACUUUGUCAUAUGUUAACAUUUUUC